AUUGAACGCUGGCGGCAGGCCUAACACAUGCAAGUCGAACGGUAACAGGAAGCAGCUUGCUGCUUUGCUGACGAGUGGCGGACGGGUGAGUAAUGUCUGGGAAACUGCCUGAUGGAGGGGGAUAACUACUGGAAACGGUAGCUAAUACCGCAUAACGUCGCAAGACCAAAGAGGGGGACCUUCGGGCCUCUUGCCAUCGGAUGUGCCCAGAUGGGAUUAGCUAGUAGGUGGGGUAAUGGCUCACCUAGGCGACGAUCCCUAGCUGGUCUGAGAGGAUGACCAGCCACACUGGAACGGAGACACGGUCCAGACUCCUACGGGAGGCAGCAGUGGGGAAUAUUGCACAAUGGGCGCAAGCCUGAUGCAGCCAUGCCGCGUGUAUGAAGAAGGCCUUCGGGUUGUAAAGUACUUUCAGCGGGGAGGAAGGCGGUGAAGUUAAUAACUUCACCGAUUGACGUUACCCGCAAAAGAAGCACCGGCUAACUCCGUGCCAGCCGCCGCAGUAA
rnacentral:rRNA from 1 species